rnacentral:misc_RNA from 1 species
GAUGAAGAACGCAGCGAAAUGCGAUAAGUAAUGUGAAUUGCAGAAUUCCGUGAAUCAUCGAAUCUUUGAACGCAUAUUGCGCCCUCUGGUAUUCCGGAGGGCAUGCCUGUCCGAGCGUCAUUACUAUCUUCAAGCACGGCUUGGUUGUUGAGCCAAUUGUCCUUUUAAUGGACAGGCUUAAAAUCCAGUGGCGAUGCGGAGUCCUGGUGCCCGAGCGUAUGGAGCUCUGUCACACGCUUUAGUGGUCCAGCCGGCAUAUUGGCCUUGGAGCGCAGCACAUUUUGCGCUUCUAGUCAUGAAUGUUGGCGUCCAUUAAGCCUAUACAUUUGCUCUUGACCUCGGAUCAGGUAGGGAUACCCGCUGAACUUAAGCAUAUCAAUAAGCGGAGGA